rnacentral:rRNA from 1 species
UACGUAGGGCGCAAGCGUUGUCCGGAAUUAUUGGGCGUAAAGAGCUCGUAGGCGGCUUGUCACGUCGGGUGUGAAAGCCCGGGGCUUAACCCCGGGUCUGCAUUCGAUACGGGCAGGCUAGAGUGUGGUAGGGGAGAUCGGAAUUCCUGGUGUAGCGGUGAAAUGCGCAGAUAUGUCACAGAACACCGAUCGCGAAGGCAGCUAACGAAACUAUCACUGACACUGAUGCACGAAAGCGUGGGGAGCAAACAGG